GCAGUGGUGGUUUAGGGGUAGAAUUCUUACCUUCCAUGUAGGAGACCUGAGUUUGAUUCUCAGCCAACGCA
rnacentral:tRNA from 1 species